AGAGUUUGAUCCUGGCUCAGGAUGAACGCUAGCUACAGGCUUAACACAUGCAAGUCGAGGGGCAGCAUUUUAGUUUGCUUGCAAACUAAAGAUGGCGACCGGCGCACGGGUGAGUAACACGUAUCCAACCUGCCGAUAACUCGGGGAUAGCCUUUCGAAAGAAAGAUUAAUAUCCGAUAGUAUAUUAAAACCGCAUGGUUUUACUAUUAAAGAAUUUCGGUUAUCGAUGGGGAUGCGUUCCAUUAGUUUGUUGGCGGGGUAACGGCCCACCAAGACUACGAUGGAUAGGGGUUCUGAGAGGAAGGUCCCCCACAUUGGAACUGAGACACGGUCCAAACUCCUACGGGAGGCAGCAGUGAGGAAUAUUGGUCAAUGGACGAGAGUCUGAACCAGCCAAGUAGCGUGAAGGAUGACUGCCCUAUGGGUUGUAAACUUCUUUUAUAUGGGAAUAAAGUAUUCCACGUGUGGGAUUUUGUAUGUACCAUAUGAAUAAGGAUCGGCUAACUCCGUGCCAGCAGCCGCGGUAAUACGGAGGAUCCGAGCGUUAUCCGGAUUUAUUGGGUUUAAAGGGAGCGUAGGUGGAUUGUUAAGUCAGUUGUGAAAGUUUGCGGCUCAACCGUAAAAUUGCAGUUGAAACUGGCAGUCUUGAGUACAGUAGAGGUGGGCGGAAUUCGUGGUGUAGCGGUGAAAUGCUUAGAUAUCACGAAGAACUCCGAUUGCGAAGGCAGCUCACUAGACUGCAACUGACACUGAUGCUCGAAAGUGUGGGUAUCAAACAGGAUUAGAUACCCUGGUAGUCCACACAGUAAACGAUGAAUACUCGCUGUUUGCGAUAUACAGUAAGCGGCCAAGCGAAAGCAUUAAGUAUUCCACCUGGGGAGUACGCCGGCAACGGUGAAACUCAAAGGAAUUGACGGGGGCCCGCACAAGCGGAGGAACAUAUGGUUUAAUUCGAUGAUACGCGAGGAACCUUACCCGGGCUUAAAUUGCAUUUGAAUAAUCUGGAAACAGGUUAGCCGCAAGGCAAAUGUGAAGGUGCUGCAUGGUUGUCGUCAGCUCGUGCCGUGAGGUGUCGGCUUAAGCGCCAUAACGAGCGCAACCCUUAUCUUUAGUUACUAACAGGUCAUGCUGAGGACUCUAGAGAGACUGCCGUCGUAAGAUGUGAGGAAGGUGGGGAUGACGUCAAAUCAGCACGGCCCUUACGUCCGGGGCUACACACGUGUUACAAUGGGGGGUACAGAAGGCAGCUACCUGGCGACAGGAUGCUAAUCCCAAAAACCUCUCUCAGUUCGGAUCGAAGUCUGCAACCCGACUUCGUGAAGCUGGAUUCGCUAGUAAUCGCGCAUCAGCCAUGGCGCGGUGAAUACGUUCCCGGGCCUUGUACACACCGCCCGUCAAGCCAUGGAAGCCGGGGGUACCUGAAGUACGUAACCGCAAGGAGCGUCCUAGGGUAAAACUGGUAAUUGGGGCUAAGUCGUAACAAGGUA
rnacentral:rRNA from 1 species